UCGAAACCUGCGAUAGCAGAACAACCCGUUAACAUGUAAAAACAUUGGGCGCGCAUAUCAGGUUGCCCUAGGGCUCUUGUUUGCAGACCCAAGGUAGGUGGCCCCUCACGGAUGUCCACUGGCCAACAAAAUCAACCGGGCGCUAAACGCGCCAAGGAAAUUAAUAUAUAGUAUUGUCCGUCCGCUUCUCGUUCACGGGCGGCGGCGACAGUCUAAAACAA
rnacentral:rRNA from 1 species